CUUAGCUCAGCUGGGAGAGCGCCUGCUUUGCACGCAGGAGGUCAGCGGUUCGAUCCCGCUAG
rnacentral:tRNA from 2 species